rnacentral:rRNA from 1 species
GUGCCAGCAGCCGCGGUAAUACGGAGGGUGCGAGCGUUAAUCGGAAUUACUGGGCGUAAAGGGCGCGUAGGCGGUCGCGCAANGUCGGGUGUGAAAGCCCCGGGCUCAACCUGGGAAUUGCAUUCGAUACUGCGUAACUAGAGUCUGGUAGAGGGAAGCGGAAUUCCGCAUGUAGCGGUGAAAUGCGUAGAUAUGCGGAGGAACACCAGUGGCGAAGGCGGCUUCCUGGACCAAGACUGACGCUGAGGCGCGAAAGCGUGGGGAGCAAACAGGAUUAGAUACCCUGGUAGUCCACGCCCUAAACGAUGAGGACUAGACGUUGGGGGGAUAAAACCCGUUUAGUGUCGCAGCUAACGCGUGAAGUCCUCCGCCUGGGGAGUACGGCCGCAAGGUUGAAACUUAAAUGAAUUGACGG